GCGCCAAAAUUUUUGGCCAAAUAUUAAACUUCCCUCUCGAAUGAAAAAGAAAGAGAUUGAAGGCCGGUCAAAUUCUGCUCUUGCUUCACGUUUUCGGCGACGGAGGAAUCAUUGCCGAGAUUCUCUGCGUCCUCGGUGAUUUCAAGAGUAAUUUGUUUAUGGGUUGUGAUAUUUUACGGAUUGAUUAAGGAUUUGGUGUCUUGGUAGCUAGAUCUGCUAAGAAGUGUGAUCAAUUUCAUGACUGGGUUUAUUGAUUUGGAUGUCGGAAUUGUUGUACGUUGUUGAGUUAGAAUUGCUAUAUAUUUUCAAUUCCUUACUCCUUACAAAUUGGGAGUUGAGGACAGAGAGCUUGUGUCGGUCCCUUUUGAUAAUUCCAAGCACUGCUGCUGCUGCUGCUGCGUUUGCUUUGGGAUUGGGCUUUUGCUGUUUUAAAAGAUUUUAAUUCGAGAGAGAUAGACUUGGUAAUCUUUUAUGUUUAAUCAAUUUGGGAACUUUGUGAUAGUCCCAUAGCAGAGAAUUUCGAUGAGAUUGGUGAUGGAUUUGUAGUUUAAUUGUAUUUCAAGUAAUGGGUUGGACCCACCUUUGAAUCAUUAUGAGUUCAUCGUGUCUAUGCAGUUCCAUGUUUUACUUAGUUUAUGUGUCGAUUACAUAUGUGAUUAUGUGUUUUCUGCAGUAGUAGUAGUUUUCUAUAUGAUCGAAAGAGUAGUAUAGUUUAGUGAUACUUGCUACAUGAUUCCCAUUUUGGAGUCUGCAACUACCUUGGUAGUUUCAUUCAGGCUUAGAUGUUGAACCUAGCAACUAUUUCUGUUAAGGUCUUUCAUUCGUAAAAGGUAGUGUUAGUUUGAUAUAUCCGAGCAGAGUGCCGCCACAGAUAGUAAUGUUGAACCAGUGAUAUCUCUGAUUUGAGCCUCAUUUUUCCAUUUACAUCAUUAAGAUAAGUUGGUGUAGCAUGUAGGACGGAAGGUGAGGGACAAAUGGAUUUAUUGGUGGAAUCUGAACCUGGGUUCUAGCAGUGUAUUGGUGAUGUCCUAGCCUGCUUGCCAUGUUGCUUGUGAAGUGAGAUUUGUUAUGACUUGGCCCUGAUUGAUUGAACCCUGUUGACUAGUAUUGCUGGUUUGCACAAGUCAGGAUCAGAUUAGGUGAUCAGAACUACUGUUAAGCUAGAUGUCUAGUGUUCUAUUUGAUGCACAAGAUGCAUUAGUUGGUGUAGCUCAUUUGCAGGACAACAAGCAUCAGAAUGUUGAGGACAGAGCUUGUGUCGGUCCCUUUUGAUAAUUCCAAGCACAGCUGCCUUGCAUGAAUCACACUCGUAGCAUCACAAGUAGUUCUAAGGUGCUGAUAUAAGAAUUCACCUCUGCCUCUGGCUGAAAUAGGUUCUCAUGGCAAAAAGAGCAAAGCAAAUGAAAGCAAGUGUAAAACUCACAAGUAAAAUGGUGCACUUGUGAGUGCGGUUAUAAUUUUCAAUACUUGUAAAUGACAACACAUUUAUUUUCAUAUUAGUGUUUAACUAUUUGUAUUUGAAUAUGGUACGAUGACUCAAUGGAUAUUUUUAACUAUAUUUUUUAUGA